rnacentral:snoRNA from 1 species
UUUCGUGAUGAUAAAAUAUACAGACCUGUUCCGAAUAUGAAUGAGGACAAAGUUAUUGCAUUUUAUAUCUGAUU